GCGGGCGUGGCGUAAUGGUAGCCGCAACGGACUUAAAAUCCGUUGGAAGAAAUUCCGUGCCGGUUCGAGUCCGGCCGCCCGCACCA
rnacentral:tRNA from 3 species